rnacentral:rRNA from 1 species
UACGUAGGGGGCAAGCGUUGUCCGGAAUCAUUGGGCGUAAAGCGCGUGUAGGCGGCCCGGUAAGUCCGCUGUGAAAGUCCAGGGCUCAACCCUGGGAUGCCGGUGGAUACUGUCGGGCUCGAGUCCGGAAGAGGCGAGUGGAAUUCCUGGUGUAGCGGUGAAAUGACGCAGAUAUCAGGAGGAACACCAAUGGCGAAGGCAGCUCGCUGGGACGUGACUGACGCUGAGACGCGAAAGCGUGGGGAGCAAACAGG